rnacentral:tRNA from 1 species
GCCCGGAUGGCGAAAUAGGCAGACGCGCUGUAUUCAGAGUGCAGUUCCGAUUGGAGGUGCGGGUUCAAGUCCCGCUCCGGGCA